rnacentral:rRNA from 1 species
UACGUAGGUGGCGAGCGUUGUCCGGAUUUACUGGGCGUAAAGGGAGCGUAGGCGGACUUUUAAGUGAGAUGUGAAAUACCCGGGCUCAACUUGGGUGCUGCAUUUCAAACUGGAAGUCUAGAGUGCAGGAGAGGAGAAUGGAAUUCCUAGUGUAGCGGUGAAAUGCGUAGAUAUUAGGAGGAACACCAGUGGCGAAGGCGACUUACUGGACUGUAACUGACGCUGAGUCACGAAAGCGUGGGUAGCAAACAGGAUUAGAUACCCGUGUAGU